UGGGGAAUAUUGCACAAUGGGCGCAAGCCUGAUGCAGCCAUGCCGCGUGUAUGAAGAAGGCCUUCGGGUUGUAAAGUACUUUCAGUCGGGAGGAAGGUGUCAAGGUUAAUAACCUUGGCAAUUGACGUUACCGACAGAAGAAGCACCGGCUAACUCCGUGCCAGCAGCCGCGGUAAUACGGAGGGUGCAAGCGUUAAUCGGAAUUACUGGGCGUAAAGCGCACGCAGGCGGUUGAUUGAGUCAGAUGUGAAAUCCCCGGGCUCAACCUGGGAACUGCAUCUGAUACUGGCAAGCUUGAGUCUCGUAGAGGGGGGUAGAAUUCCAGGUGUAGCGGUGAAAUGCGUAGAGAGCUGGAGGAAUACCGGUGGCGAAGGCGGCCCCCUGGACGAAGACUGACGCUCAGGUGCGAAAGCGUGGGGAGCAAACAGG
rnacentral:rRNA from 1 species